rfam:Sphingobium quisquiliarum P25 contig062, whole genome shotgun sequence.
UUGCGGGACCGGGCCCCUCUGGCGCGCUGCUCCUUCUGGGGUGAGCGCGUGAUGUCGGACCGCAUCG